GACGAACGCUGGCGGCGUGCCUAAUACAUGCAAGUCGAACGGAAGGGCCAGGAGCUUGUGUUUUUGUUGUUUGGCGCGGGGGGGGGUGUAACGUGUGGAAAAUCCCCCUAUAUGUGUGGGAAAAUCUGGGGAAACCGGCGCCUAUAGCGGAGAAUAUUUUGGACCGCGUUGGGGGAAAGAGAAAAACGGGGUUUGGGUCUCUUAUCGCUGGGUCCGCGCUGGAUUUGGUAGUUGGGAAGGUAACGGGUUAUCAAGGGAAAGAGGCCUAGCCGACUGGAGAGGGUGAUCGGCCACACUGGAACGGAGACACGGUCCAGACUCCUACGGGAGGCAGCAGUAGGGAAUCUGCCGCAAUGGGCGAAGGCCUGACGGAGCAACGCCGCGUGAGUGGUGAAGGUCUUCGGAUCGUAAAACUCUGUUAUUAGGGAAGAACAUAUGUGUAAGUAACUGUGCACAUCUUGACGGUACCUAAUCAGAAAGCCACGGCUAACUACGUG
rnacentral:rRNA from 1 species